rnacentral:lncRNA from 1 species
GGGAACGCGUACAAGUAGUAAAGCAUAUUGUCAUGCAUUCUGUGAGUUGGAAGCAAAUUCAGAUCUGAAAUGAGAAUGGCAUUUCAGAAGUACUCUCUGGAGAUUAUGUUUAAACUAUUUUUUUUUCCUAUAUAACAUCUGAGUGGUUCUACAUUUUCAAGUUGUUCAUGGCUACAGCUGAAAAGAAAAGAAAAGAAAAGAAAAGAAAAGAAAAGAAAAGAAAAGAAAAGAAAAGAAAAGAAAAGAAAAGAAAAGAAAAGAAAAGAAAAGAAAAGAAAAGAAAAGAAAAGGAAAGAAAAGGAAAGAAAAGGAAAGUGAACUUGUCAAGUAAUGUAUUUGACAUUAAGAGAGUGAAAACCAAAAUGAACAAAAAAUGUCUUUCCAGUAGCAGUGAGUUCUUUUUUCUUGAAGAUUCAAAUGAGUACCUCCUUUUUUUGCAUUCAAAGCAUUAUUUUGUCAAGAAAAGCAGCCAGUUUGAGACAAGGAAAGAGAAGAAAAGAUGACAAGCAGAACUUACACUGUGGAAAAGGGGAUGGGGGGAACACCUAUUAUUACAAUAAGGAGAAGGCUCUGCCACUGCAGUGAAUAAAGUGAU